GGUCGCGAGUCCUCGGACUGAGCCGGGCAGAGCCGCCAGGAAGGGUCAAUUAUUCAUGGGGCGCCUGGGCGUGCUCCCAAGACCUGCUCUGCCCUCAGCUUCUCCGGAGAAGUGGGGAGAAGACAAGGGAAAAGUUCCCAGAGCAAAGUUGGCCCCGUUUCUCCUUUUCCCAAAUGCUUACUGACUACCUCCUCUGUGCCCACCACCGCGCUGCAUGCUGAGGACCUCACCAUCGGCACACAUGGCCCUCGCUUAGGCUUCGCAGCCCUGCAGGGGAGGGGAAGUGGCGAGAAGACAGGCGACCGCAAUGCCAUGUGAUACACGCCAGGAUGAACCAAGGAAGCACCUAAAAGGGAGGAGACUGAUGCACAGAGACGUUAAAACAAACUUCCCAAGGCCACAGCUGCGGUGUGGCUGAACCAGACUUUGAAUCCAGAGCUUCCAGUUGGGAGUUCCUUUCCGGCAUGCCUGUUUUCUCCUUUGUUUUAGAGCAACUGUUCCCUCCAUGUACCUCCC